rnacentral:rRNA from 1 species
UACGGAGGGUGCGAGCGUUGUCCGGAAUCAUUGGGCGUAAAGGGCGCGUAGGUGGCCCGGUCAGCGUGCGGUGAAAGCUCGGGGCUCAACCCCGAGUCGGCCGUGCGAACUGCUGGGCUCGAGCACUGUAGAGGCAGGCGGAAUUCCGGGUGUAGCGGUGGAAUGCGUAGAGAUCCGGAAGAACACCGGUGGCGAAGGCGGCCUGCUGGGCAGUGGCUGACACUGAGGCGCGACAGCGUGGGGAGCAACAGG